rnacentral:rRNA from 1 species
UGGGGAAUAUUGCACAAUGGAGGGAACUCUGAUGCAGCGACGCCGCGUGAGUGAUGAAGGAAUUCGUUUCGUAAAACUCUGUUCUAUGGGAAGAAAAGGACUGUACCAUAGGAGAAAGCUCCGGCUAAAUACGUGCCAGCAGCCGCGGUAAUACGUAUGGAGCGAGCGUUGUCCGGAAUUAUUGGGCGUAAAGGGUGCGCAGGCGGCUUUACAAGUUGGAUGUGAAAUAUUGUGGCUCAACCACAAACGUGCAUCCAAAACUGCAAAGCUUGAGUUGAGGAGAGGUAAGUGGAAUUCCUGGUGUAGCGGUGGAAUGCGUAGAUAUCAGGAGGAAUACCGGUGGCGAAGGCGACUUACUGGACUUAAACUGACGCUCAGGCACGAAAGCGUGGGGAGCAAACAGG